UACGUAGGGGGCAAGCGUUGUCCGGAAUUAUUGGGCGUAAAGCGCGCGCAGGCGGUUCCUUAAGUCUGAUGUGAAAGCCCACGGCUUAACCGUGGAGGGUCAUUGGAAACUGGGGAGCUUGAGUACAGAAGAGGAGAGUGGAAUUCCACGUGUAGCGGUGAAAUGCGUAGAUAUGUGGAGGAACACCAGUGGCGAAGGCGACUCUCUGGUCUGUAACUGACGCUGAGGCGCGAAAGCGUGGGGAGCGAACAGG
rnacentral:rRNA from 1 species